CCCGUCAUGUCACAGCUGAGUUCAGCCAAGAUAUAGACCAAGAGCAGAAGCCUUUUGAUUUCCAGAGCAAGGGAGCUUGUGGCAAGCUUGGAUCCUCUUGGUUAGCAUUCCCUUUCCUCACAGUGCCUUCAGGCGUCAACCUUCUCGGCGAGAUUCAAGUCAGUUCUUCCAGACACUUGUAUGUGAGCCUUUUGAAAAUAAGGUGCCUACUCACAGCACGGAGGACUACAGAGCCGGCCUAGUGAUGGAGUCAGAGCACUGGACCUCCAUUAACAUAACCACAAGGCUGCUUUACACAGAGCAGCUUAUGCUCACCACCUUUG
rnacentral:lncRNA from 1 species